AGAGUUUGAUCCUGGAUCAGNAUGAACGCUAUCGGCAGGCCUAAUACAUGCAAGUCGAACGGGAUUCCAAGUAGCAAUAUUUUGAUGAGAGUGGCGCACGGGUGAGUAACACGUAUGCAAUUUACCUUUAACUGGGGAAUAGCCCUCCGAAAGGAGGAUUAAUACCGCAUAAUAUAUUUGAAAUGGCAUCAUUKUAAUAUUAAACCUAGGGGGUUAAAGAUGAGCAUGCAUCCGAUUAGCUAGUUGGUGUGGUAACGGCUCACCAAGGCAACGAUCGGUAGGGGGUCUGAGAGGAUGAUCCCCCACACUGGUACUGAGACACGGACCAGACUCCUACGGGAGGCAGCAGUAAGGAAUAUUGGACAAUGGAGGCAACUCUGAUCCAGCCAUGCCGCGUGAAGGAUUAAGGCCCUAUGGGUUGUAAACUUCUUUUAGACGGGACAAAACCCCUUUACGUGUAAAGGGUUGAUGGUACUGUCAGAAUAAGCAUCGGCUAACUUCGUGCCAGCAGCCGCGGUAUACGAAGGAUGCAAGCGUUAUCCGGAAUUAUUGGGUUUAAAGGGUGCGUAGGCGGACUAAUAAGUCAGUGGUGAAAGCCUGCAGCUUAACUGCAGAAUUGCCGUAGAUACUGUCAGUCUUGAGUACAGUUGAAGUAGGCGGAAUGUGUCAUGUAGCGGUGAAAUGCUUAGAUAUGACACAGAACACCGAUUGCGAAGGCAGCUUGCUCAGCUGUAACUGACGCUGAGGCACGAAAGCGUGGGGAGCAAACAGGAUUAGAUACCCUGGUAGUCCACGCCCUAAACGAUGAUAACUCGCUGUUGGCGAUAUA
rnacentral:rRNA from 1 species